UAGAGGCUGAAAGUCCAAGAUCAAGGCACUGGCAGAUUGAGUGUCUGGAGAAGGCCACUUCCUCAUACAUGAUGAUCUUCUCACUUUAAUCUCACAUGGCAGAAAGGGCAAGGCAACUAACUCUCUGGGUCUCUUUCAUGAGGGCCUGAAUCCCAUUCAUGAAAGUGGGCCCCUCAUGACUUCAUCGUCUCCCAGAAGCCCUGUCUGCUAACACCACCACCUUGUUUCAGCAUAGGAAUUUUGCAGAAGUUGGAGGUGGGACACAAACAUUCAGACCACAGUAGUCUUAUCAGAAAAGAGAAACAGGUAAAUGCAAAUAAGAUGAUUUUGGGAAAGAAAGCUGAUUACUAGAAACCAGCAAGAUUAUCCAGCGAAUGAUGAUUGAAAUCCCAGAUUGUCAGGCUGUGAACCAGUCAGAGCUGAAGGCACCUGCUCCAUCCUGGGAUGGACUGUGGCCAGAAUUCAAACUCAAGGUCUGGGUACUACUGUCUUUCCCCAUAACUUGAAACCACGAGGUGCCUGCAGUUGACCACUCCCUGAAGACCUAGCUUCAAACCUCAGACAGCUUAGUGUCUAACUCUGGUAGUAAACAUGUUCUCCAUUUACAACCACUCUCAUGCCUACACUAUAAAAAGAUAGAGUAGCUGAUGGGGAGAGGACGUCUUCCCCUGGGCACAGCAUCUCGGUCAUUUAGCCCUCUGGACCCUGCACACCUCACUGAGGAAUGAUGACAGAAGGGGAGAUCUUGUGCCUUCUCUUGUUGAUCUUUGGUGUGGACAUUCCCCAAUAAAGUCUGUUCCUUAUAGCCAUACCUCCUGACAUUUGGUUAACGUCACCUGCAUUUUCACCUUUAGUCCCCAGUACGGGACAAAUUCUGUUCAUUCUAGUUAAGGCUUCUGGAAUGGCCCAGCCCAGGGUAGGAGAUCACUCCUUGCGUGCAGCAGGGGCGGGUCACCUGGCUGAAUGCGAUUGUGGUGCCUACAUCACAGACCACAGGAGCCCUUGGCAUCGGUUUCCAUAGGAAUGGGAGACAGAGGGAGAUAAGACUGCCUAGGAUUCAACCCCUUAGCCUUUCCUCAGGAAUCUACAGUUCUUUUAACAGUCUCUACACUUCCUGAAAUUCUCAAUUAGGCCAAGUCCUCUUUAUGAAUUGGAGCAGCUUUCCAUCCCCUCUCUGAGGAGGUGUUGGUCUCUAAUAAACAUCUUGCACCUGUAACUCCACUUCAGCAUCUGCUCCCGGAGAGCCCAGCUGCAACACCAACUUCGUCCCAAUACUGGCUGUGCUUUCCUGGCUGCCCUACAACAUGCUAAUCUUGCCCGACAGUCUAGACAGUCCUGCCACUUUCUUGGCAACUCAAUGUACUCUGCUGUGACACUCACCUUGAGGAUUCCCGGGGCAGAUCCCAAGAUACAGGGAUACCAAAAAGUAUUUUCAAACCAGUAGGCUUGCAAGCAUUGUUCUAAUACUGAAAGAUUCAUAGUGACCUAUAUUUAUUGGACAUUUAUCAUGUGGCAGGCACUGUUUAAUGUGAAUUAAUCACAACCGUAUUGUCCAUACUAUUAAAGUUUUUUAGGUGAGGAAACUGAGGCAUGCUUCAGUCACCAGUUGGUGAGUUGGUGGAGUUGGGAUUUAAAUUUAGGCAUCUUCACAGUCCACGUGUCUUACUCAAUUUUCUCUUCCUCAAAUUGAGCUUAAAUUCAAGUUUCUUAUAGUUCUGGAGGCUGAGAAGUCCAAGGUCAAGGAGCCAUAUCUGUUCCCAGGUGAUGCUGACACUGCUGUUUCAAGGACAACAUUUUGGGAACCACUUUACGUGAUACAGCCUCUCAAGUACAAUUUCAACUGACAUCAUGUGAAAAUGCAUUAUCGUUUUCCUCAUGAUAAAUAAGAGUUUCCAAGUGCAAUAAAUUUGGAAACCA